GAAUAAGAGAGAGGGAAUAAAGAGAGAGAGAAUAAAGAGAGAGGGAAUAAAGAGAGGGAAUAAAGAGAGGGAAUAGAGAGAGAGAAUAAAGAGAGAGAGAAUAAAGAGAGAGGAAUAAAAGAGUAGGAAUAAAGAGAGAGAAUAAAGAGAGAGGGAAUAAAGAGAGAGGGAAUAAAGAGAGAGAAUAAAGAGAGAGGGAAUAAAGAGAGGGAAUAAAGAGAGAGAAUAAGAGAGAGGGAAUAGAGAGAGGGAAUAAAGAGAGAGAAUAAAGAGAGAGAAUAAAGAGAGAGGGAAUAGAGAGAGGGAAUAAAGAGAGAGAAU
ensembl:lncRNA